GUGAUGAUACAGCACAGUUGAUCAUCAUGAAUGUCUAUAGGAUGUCAUAUUUAUGUUCUUCUGUUUAGCUUAAAUCUUACUCGGGUUCUAAUAGCAAACAGUCCAGUUACAAUGGGCUCCCACUGCAAAGCAUCUGCUCAAUUCAGAUAAAUAAGACCAAUGCGUUUGAAGGGCAAAGUUUCAAUACAAGUGGCCUGCCAUUUCAUUUGGCGAUGCAAUUCUUAUGCAGCAUAAAUAACAAAGGGGAAAGGGAUCAUUUGCUAAUUGAUUAAUUAUCUUGUAAAUGAAUUACAGACCUGUGGAGUGCUAGCUAGGUGUGUGCAGGAGACCUGGCUGUUUUCUUUUCUCCUUUGAGUUUAGGAGUUACAAGUGAUGACGAGGCUCUGUACACACAAAGCUGGCAUCUGUUACACCAGGCUGGAGGCCGCGUGCCAUGAUGUGCUUGUUUUUUUUUUGUUUUUUUUUUUUAGCACGUGAAAACCGUUCGCUGUGGAAUGCAGGUAUCUGUGUGUGCACGUCGGUGUGCCUCAGCAUACAGAGAGGAAUGAAAAUUGAAUUUCAAGUCAAAGCGCUCCAAGCCCCGGAAUCCUGCUCCAUAUGGAAAUUUCAGAAUUUGUUGAUUGUGGACAAUAAGCAGAGUCCUCCAGCUUUGUGCUUUUAUCCUGGUGGUGGCCCUCAAGAAUAAGCCGAGCACCCUGUUUCAUCUCAGUGCAUUUGCUUCCUUAAGAACAUGUAAGUAUCAGUUUCAUUUGCCCCUGAGUUGUGAAGUUGGA
rnacentral:lncRNA from 1 species